GUAAAGAGCUUGUAGGCGGUUUGUCGCGUCUGCUGUGAAAGACCGGGGCUUAACUCCGGUUCUGCAGUGGGUACGGGCAGACUAGAGUGUGGUAGGGGAGACUGGAAUUCCUGGUGUAGCGGUGAAAUGCGCAGAUAUCAGGAGGAACACCGAUGGCGAAGGCAGGUCUCUGGGCCAUUACUGACGCUGAGAAGCGAAAGCAUGGGGAGCGAACAGGAUUAGAUACCCUGGUAGUCCAUGCCGUAAACGUUGGGCGCUAGGUGUGGGACUCAUUCCACGAGUUCCGUGCCGCAGCUAACGCAUUAAGCGCCCCGCCUGGGGAGUACGGCCGCAAGGCUAAAACUCAAAGGAAUUGACGGGGGCCCGCACAAGCGGCGGAGCAUGCGGAUUAAUUCGAUGCAACGCGAAGAACCUUACCAAGGCUUGACAUACACCGGAAUCAUGCAGAGAUGUGUGCGUCUUCGGACUGGUGUACAGGUGGUGCAUGGUUGUCGUCAGCUCGUGUCGUGAGAUGUUGGGUUAAGUCCCGCAACGAGCGCAACCCUCGUUCCAUGUUGCCAGCACUUCGGGUGGGGACUCAUGGGAGACUGCCGGGGUCAACUCGGAGGAAGGUGGGGAUGACGUCAAAUCAUCAUGCCCCUUAUGUCUUGGGCUUCACGCAUGCUACAAUGGCCGGUACAGAGGGUUGCGAAACCGUGAGGUGGAGCUAAUCCCAAAAAACCGGUCUCAGUUCGGAUUGGGGUCUGCAACUCGACCCCAUGAAGUCGGAGUCGCUAGUAAU
rnacentral:rRNA from 1 species